rnacentral:rRNA from 1 species
AUUGAACGCUGGCGGCAGGCCUAACACAUGCAAGUCGAACGGUAACAGGAAGAAGCUUGCUUCUUUGCUGACGAGUGGCGGACGGGUGAGUAAUGUCUGGGAAACUGCCUGAUGGAGGGGGAUAACUACUGGAAACGGUAGCUAAUACCGCAUAAUGUCGCAAGACCAAAGAGGGGGACCUUCGGGCCUCUUGCCAUCGGAUGUGCCCAGAUGGGAUUAGCUAGUAGGUGGGGUAACGGCUCACCUAGGCGACGAUCCCUAGCUGGUCUGAGAGGAUGACCAGCCACACUGGAACUGAUACACGGGCCAGACUCCUACGGGAGGCAGCAGUGGGGAAUAUUGCACAAUGGGCGCAAGCCUGAUGCAGCUAUGCCGCGUGUAUGAAGAAGGCCUUCGGGUUGUAAAGUACUUUCAGCGGGGAGGAAGGGAGUAAAGUUAAUACCUUUGCUCAUUGACGUUACCCGCAGAAGAAGCACCGGCUAACUCCGUG